ensembl:lncRNA LINC00635 long intergenic non-protein coding RNA 635
GAACAUCUUACGGAUGGCCCAGGGCUCCAAAGGCUCGUUUCCUAAGUGAGAGAGAGCCUGGCUGAAGCUGUAUUACCAUUCAUUCUCCAGCCUCCGAAGUCUCAAAGCAUCACUUCCACCAUACUCUAACUGUCAAGACAAACACAAAGGCCCAGACAUUACAUGUAAAUGGAAUCAUACAAUAUGUGAUCUUUUGUGACUGGCUUCUUUCACUUAGCAUAACGUUUUCAAGAAACUGCCAGACUGUCUUCUGAAGUGGCUAUAAUAUUUACACUCCCAUCAGCAGUGUAGAAGGGGUCUCACUAUGUUGUCUGGAGUGCUGUGGUGGAGUGGAGUGGCUAUUCACAGGAUUCUUGGAAUGGACUGUAAAAGUCUGGAAUCAAGACUUUGUGUUUCCUCUCUAACAUGUAAAGAGCUUAGAAGUUGUCGCUAUUGCCCUUACAACAAAAUGAAGCUGGACAAACUGAAAAUCAAUGACUUUUCUUGGACUCACUAUACAGCUGAGUUUGCAGAGUAAACCACUACCCUGAAAUCUGGAAAGGCAGGUGCACCCACAGAUCCUCAGCUGAGAUCCAAUUACCUGAAAUAGAAGCUGCCAUUAGGAACACUUAAAAGAGCCUGUUCUGCUGGGACACAGAAUCACUUGCUCCAUCUCAUACAUUGAUGAUGAUUAAUUUGUAUGUGUACCUUCCAAAAAAGAUGGUUGUGUUUGAAUGGAGGCCUUCUGGACAGGAAAAUAUGGAGAGUGCGUGCUUUGGAUUCAAGACUGGGAAUGAGGGGACCAGAAACCUAUUCUGUGGCUGUUUCUUGUUAGGACUUUCCUAAGCCUCUGGAAAAGUGCAAAGUACAAUUAACAUUUGAGUCUGUCUGAGUCAUGAAGAAAUGGAGAUUACUGAAAAUAAUUCAUUUUGGUAUCUUCUUACAUCCUGAGAGACUAAUCUUUCCAAGUUCAUCUGAGGCUCCUCUUCUCCAUGACAACCUCAUCCAGGGAUUUCUUCCUGUCCUGGUGUUUUAUGACAUAAUCACAUCCUUCCUGAGAUAAUGAGCACACAAUUGCCUGGAUACCUGAAGGAAUGGAGACAGCGGCAGAAAACACUGCAGAGAGGUGGAAACAUCCGUUAAUAUUUUAAAAUCCCAUUACUGCUACCAACAAUAAUAAUGGAUGCAUAGAAAUAGAUCUGGAUUAGCUGAGCUUGAAACAGUCCAUCUCACACACACACAAAAGAAUUUCAGAUACAGUGAACCCACAUGUUGAAGCUUUCUAGUAUAAUAAAAAUUUCAACUGUUCUGUUGAAUCAUCUGCCUGAUUGGAGGCUACAGAAAAGAUGUCAUCUUAGGAGUGCUUGCUCUGAGUGAGGCUCAUCUUCAAAUCUGAAUGACCACAAGGAGAUUUGAUUAUACAUGUGAACACCUCAGAAGGCACAGCCCACCCAGAAGGCAGACAGGUCAGGCUGCUUUUUCUUCAUUGCUUGGAUUCAAUCCUCCGGGCGGCUCAGGCUCAAACAUAACUUAAGCAUGAUUAAACUUUAGAAGAAGCUGCCAGGAAGACUGUGAAAUCUUCAUGCCCAAGGAUCCCUAAAAUUAGGAGCAACAACCACUUGGCUCAGACGGUUUAUGGAGGCAAAGGUUUGGAUGGGAUUAGAGAUUUCUAAAUGUGAGUUCGUGUCCUCUGCCAGACCACCUUACUUCCACCAUUCCUCAGCAAAUCAAGAAAAACAGGAGAAAAGACAUGCCUUUCCAUAAGUUAAAUCUAUUCUGUUUUAAUUCUAUAUUAUAUCUGCUGUACAACUUCUUUUGUUUGUAACACCAUAUUGUUGCUAGUAACUGGAAAUUAAUUUUCACAUGCCUCAGCUUAGAAAAAUAAAAAGCAGCC